UCAAACCAGGAUAGACCAGGAUGGACCAGACCAGGACAAACCAGGGAAGGAUAGACCAGGCCAGCACAGACCAAGAGAGACCAGACCAGGACAAACCAGGGAAGGAUAGACCAGGCCAGCAUAGACCAAGAGAGACCAGACCAGGACAAACCAGGGAAGGAUAGACCAGGCCAGCAUAGACAAAGAGAGACCAGACCAGGACAAACCAGGGAAGGAUAGACCAGGCCAGCAUAGACAAAGAGAGACCAGACCAGGCCGGGACAGAUCAGGACAGGAUGGCAUACAAUGUAACCUUUCUUCAAAAAAAAAGAUAAGCACUCAUUAACAUGUUUUUUAUUAGAUGUAAAAUCCUGAUCAGAGUUCUUCAUUUGAAAUUAUUUGCACUUAAUUAUUAACUUUUUCCACACUGUUUUUUCUUUUCCAGAGGAGACAACACCCUCUUUUAAAAAGAGAGGAAAGAAAAGGACAGAAAGAAGAAACAAGACCUGACCUCAGGGAUGGAGCCAGACAGCAAUUGUUAAGAUCCACGUUAAAAAAGUGAAGAGUCUCCUUCAUCUGCUGCAGCCGGGCCAUCAGAGACAGUUUACUGUCCUGAAGAAAAAGUAUGUUUUUUUACACCCUGUUUUUGUCUUUUUAGUUUACAACAAACAUAUUAACUUUACUUUAUCAGUCAAAGCCACACUUCUCAUCCCACCACUCAAACACACACCAGCAUUUUCUUACAGAAAAACUCACACAUCACAUCAAAACUUUUCCUCUCAAUAGCAGAAAACUAAACUACCUGUUCUUCUCCUUUCACCAUUACUUCUCUUUUGCUUUCCUCCUCCCACCCACUUUCCUUCUUUGUCCCUCGCUAUUUUUUUCUUUCUCUUUCUUUUCAUCUCUUUGUCUUUCUUUAAUUGAUAAUUAUAACCUUUUUGCACAUGCUUUGUCUUUGUUUUGAUGUCUGUAUUCAUUUAAAACUAAUCUAGUUAAAGUAAUUGUGUUUGUCCUUCAACAUUUUAUGAUGGUAUGCUCUGUUGCUCUGUUUUGUGUUGUAUAGC